AUGGCCCUCCCGUCGCCCGCCGGCAUCGCCAAGCCCAGGCUCCACCUGCUCCUCAACCACAGGCGCGCCAGCUCGUCGUCCGUCACCUGCUGCAGCAGCAACGGGCGGUCGUCGUCUGAGCCCGAGGACUGGGCGGCGCCGUCAGGGGACGCCGUCGACUGGCGCUCGUUCCGGGCGCAGCUCGUCCUCAAGGAGCAGUACGCGAAGAGCGUCAACCCGGCGCUCAGGGCGUCGUGGGCGCCGGCGGCGAAGAUCGCGGACAAGUGGGCGCACCCGCUGGUGGAGCCGGAGAAGGGGUGCCUCCUGAUCGCGACGGGGAAGCUGGACGGGUCGCACAUCUUCGAGCGCACCGUGAUCCUCCUGCUGUCGGCCGGGGUUCUCGGCCCCGUCGGCGUGAUCCUGAACCGGCCCUCGCUCAUGUCCAUCAAGGAGGCGCAGUCCCUCUUCGCCGAGGAGGCGGACAUCGCCGGCACCUUCUCCGGCCGCCCGCUCUUCUUCGGCGGGCCGCUGGAGGAGUGCUUCUUCCUGCUGGGGCCGCGGGAGGGCGCCAGCGCCGCCGACGACGUGGUGGGCCGGACGGGGCUGUUCGAGGAGGUGAUGCCGGGCGUGCACUACGGCACGCGGGAGAGCGUGGGGUGCGCCGCGGAGCUGGUCAAGCGCGGGGUCGCCGGCGUGCGGGACUUCCGCUUCUUCGACGGGUUCUGCGGGUGGGAGAGGGAGCAGCUGCGUGACGAGGUCCGCGCAGGGCUGUGGCGUGUGGCCGCCUGCAGCCCCGCCGUUCUCGGGCUCACCGGCAUCGGGGGCGGGCUGUGGGAGGAGGUGCAGCAGCUCGUCGGAAAGAGGAGGGUGUGGUAA
rnacentral:rRNA from 1 species